AGAAUCAACGCUGGCGGCGUGCCUAACACAUGCAAGUCGAACGAGAAAGUGGUAGCAAUACCAUGAGUAAAGUGGCGCACGGGUGAGUAACACGUGACUAACCUACCCUGGAGUGGGGGAUAACUGAGGGAAACCUUAGCUAAUACCGCAUAAUACCCACGGGUCAAAGGAGCAAUUCGCUCUGGGAGGGGGUCGCGGCCGAUUAGUUAGUUGGCGGGGUAAUGGCCCACCAAGACUAUGAUCGGUA
rnacentral:rRNA from 1 species